UUUAUUAUUUAUUUUUUGUAACGUUGCCAUUAAUUUUUUGUAAAUUGUUAUUCGUUAAAUAAACAUUUAUUUUAAGGUUGGUUUUUAAAUAUUUUGAUGUAGUGUUAUGAUGGAGUAGAGUUGUAAUGUGAAGUUUAUUAAAUGUAAAUGGUAACGAAAACCUAGGAAUGCCAGCGAACAUAUUAGAAAAAUAUGGUUGGAAAAUAUAAUUAAAAUUAACUUCACUAUAUUUUACAAACCGCAGAGAGAUAGAGGUUCAAUUUUGACGUUCUAGAACAGAUUCAAUUAGAUUAUAUUUACUUUCGAUUAUUAUCAAUGAAGCCAUCUUAAGGAACUGUACAGCUCGGAAAUGUUUUUCUUUCUAUAACAUGUUAAAACAUUAAACAUAUAAUUCAAUUAGAAGUUAAAUUAAAAAGUUUAGAACACACGAUCAUUCAUAGCCCUAUUCGAAAUUUGAAAUACACAUAUGCUUUUUCCAGUAUUGAGGCAGUGCAGUUUGAGAGCUUAAUAUUCGUCCAUGCCAAUUAGAUAUGCAUCUGCAUUGUAACUCAGCUCCAUACAAAUGCUUCACGUUAAUCUAAUGUUCAAUAGGUUCACAAACAUCUGUAAAAAUGUACGCUUAACUACACAAAAAUAAAAUAAAGCUAAAAAAAACACAAA